UCAUCUUAUACUUGGGAGUCAGACUGUGGGUGAUAAGAUUCAUAGUCGAAAGGGCAACAGCCCAGAUCGUCAGCUAAGGUCCCUAAAUGUAAGUUAAGUGGUAAAGGAUGUGGGAUUGCACAGACAAACAGGAUGUUGGCUUAGAAGCAGCCACUCAUUCAAAGAGUGCGUAAUAGCUCACUGGUCGAGUGAUCCUGCGCCGAAGAUUUCCGGGGCUAAAACUUACUACCGAAGCUACGGCAUCAGUAAUGA
rnacentral:rRNA from 1 species